rnacentral:rRNA from 1 species
GACAGAGGUGCCGAGCGUUUAGGCGGAAUCACUGGGCUUAAAGCGUGUGUAGGCGGACUUCUAAGUACCUUGUGAAAUCCCACGCUCAACUGGGAGGGUGCGCCGAAUACUGAAUGACUUGGAGUGCGGGAGAGGAAAGUGGAAUUCCUGGUGUAGCGGUGAAAUGCGUAGAUAUCAGGAGGAACACCGGUGGUGUAGACGGCUUUCUGGACCGUAACUGACGCUGAGACACGAAAGCGUGGGUAGCAAACAGG